GAAACAGCUGCUCACCUGGUCAAGCUGUUGGACUCACCUGUUCAGAUCAAGACAACAUCAGGUUGGUGGGAGAGGCCAGCCGAUGUGCUGGGAGACUGGAGAGGAAACAUCUAGAAAAGUGGAGACCAGUGGAUGUUAUGAAUCCUUACUGGGACAUGAACUCAGUUGCUGCAGUUUGUGCUAAACUGGACUGUGGUUCUGCUGUUUCAGCAAGAAAGUCAGGGCCAGUUUCUUACAGACCAGUUUGGAGGAUCAGUUCUGACUGUUUGCAGUCAGGUUCUGAAGAAAAGAGCUGUUUACCUUAUGAUGAAAACAGUGUUUGGCGCCAUGAGCUCAUCUGCUCAGACUCAGUCAGGCUGGUUCAAGGGACCAACCGGUGCUCAA